rnacentral:rRNA from 1 species
GUCGAGCGGUAAGGCCUUUCGGGGUACACGAGCGGCGAACGGGUGAGUAACACGUGGGUGAUCUGCCCUGCACUUCGGGAUAAGCCUGGGAAACUGGGUCUAAUACCGGAUAUGACCUCCUGUUGCAUGACGGGUGGUGGAAAGAUUUAUCGGUGCAGGAUGGGCCCGCGGCCUAUCAGCUUGUUGGUGGGGUAAUGGCCUACCAAGGCGACGACGGGUAGCCGACCUGAGAGGGUGACCGGCCACACUGGGACUGAGACACGGCCCAGACUCCUACGGGAGGCAGCAGUGGGGAAUAUUGCACAAUGGGCGAAAGCCUGAUGCAGCGACGCCGCGUGAGGGAUGACGGCCUUCGGGUUGUAAACCUCUUUCAGCAGGGACGAAGCGCAAGUGACGGUACCUGCAGAAGAAGCACCGGCUAACUACGUGCCAGCAGCCGCGGUAAUACGUAGGGUGCAAGCGUUGUCCGGAAUUACUGGGCGUAAAGAGUUCGUAGGCGGUUUGUCGCGUCGUUUGUGAAAACCAGCAGCUCAACUGCUGGCUUGCAGGCGAUACGGGCAGACUUGAGUACUGCAGGGGAGACUGGAAUUCCUGGUGUAGCGGUGAAAUGCGCAGAUAUCAGGAGGAACACCGGUGGCGAAGGCGGGUCUCUGGGCAGUAACUGACGCUGAGGAACGAAAGCGUGGGUAGCGAACAGGAUUAGAUACCCUGGUAGUCCACGCCGUAAACGGUGGGCGCUAGGUGUGGGUUCCUUCCACGGAAUCCGUGCCGUAGCUAACGCAUUAAGCGCCCCGCCUGGGGAGUACGGCC